UCCUACCUUGAAAAAUGGAAAAAAAAAAAAGGAACGAUACAGAGAAGAUUAGCAUGGCCCCUGCACAAGGAUGACAUGCAAAGUUGUGAAAUGUUGCAUGUAAAG